UUUUUUUUUUUUUAAUUUUUAUUUAUUUAUGAUAGUCAUCAUAAAGAGAGAGAGAGAGAGGCGCAGAGACCAGGCAGAGGGAGAAGCAGGCUCCAUGCACCGGGAGCCCAAUGUGGGAUUCGAUCCCGGAUCUCCAGGAUCGCGCACUGGGCCAAAGGCAGGCGCCAAACCGCUGGGCCACCCAGGGAUCCCUCCACAAGAACUCUUAACACCAAGGUUUCUCUGAUGGUUAUUCAGCUUACAGUUUUCCAGAUUUUCUUUGCUUAGCCUCAUGGGGUCUCAUCCUGCAUUCCCUGCUUUGUAUUUGGCCAAAGACACAAGGAAAUUCCUAUGCAGAUUUCUGGAUCUCAUUCUCUGCAUAGUUCCCAUCUCUCUGGUGUUCUGCUCUAUGACUUUUAGCUGCUUCAGUUUCUACAGGCUCUGACUUUUCUUUUUCCUCAGCUCUAGUCUGCUAUGCCUUACUUGGGAUCCUCCUUUUUUUUUUUUUUUUUUUAAGAUUUAUCUAUUGAUUUGAGGGGGGAGUGCACACAAGCAAGGAAAGGGAGAGGCAGAGGGAAAGGGAGAGAAUCUCAAGCAGCCUCCAUGCUGAGUGUGGCAUCAACCCUGAUGCAAGGCUUCAGUCCAGUACCCUGAGAUCAGGACUUGAGUGGAAACCAAGAUCCCAACACUUGACUGAAUGAGCCACACAGAUAUCCUGGGAUCCUCCUUCUUAUGCUGAUAUUUGGUAAAUGUUACCAGCAAGAACACUAGGGAAAUUGUAGAGCUCACUAUAUUUUUCUUCCUUUUCUCAUAAUUAUUGUCCUGUGCUGCCUGUGGUCCAAUGACUGAAUAACUAUUCACAUUUGUUGUACAGUUAUCUAGUUGUGUAUGACAGGAGGUUUAGUCUGAUACUAGUUACUCUGUCAUGGCUGGAUGUAUGUAUUAUUGUCAUUAUUUUUUGGAUGUAUGUAUUAUUUUUUGACUGAUUCCUUUUUAUCCCAUAUUAUGUUUGUGAGAUGCAUGCUUUUUUUAAUUUAAAAACAUUUUUAAAAUUAAUUUAUUUUUAAGAAUUCUCUACCCCCAACAUGGUCUUGAACUCACAACCCCAAGACUAAGAAUCACAUGCUUUACUAAGCCAGCCAGGCACCCCUCAUGCUUAUUGAAUGAAAUAUUUAGCUCACUUUUUAUUUUUUUUUUAAGUUUUUAUUUUUUUAAAUUUUAUUUAUUAAUGAGAGAGAGACACACACACAGAAGCAGAGACACAGGCAGAGGGAGAAGCAGACUCCAUGCAGGGAGCCCGACGUGGGACUCGAUCCCAGGUCUCCAGGAUCACACCCUGGGCUGAAGGCAGGCGCUAAACCGCUGAGCCACCAGGGCUGCCCUCACUUUUUAUUUCUGUAUUGUAUUCUAUAACUGAAUAUAUCACAAUUUAUUUAUACAAUCAAUCUAUUGUUGACAUUUGAGUAGUUUCCAUUUUAGAGCUAUUAUAAAUAAUACUGCUAUAAACAUUCUUGUACAUGUCUUUUGGUAUAUGAAUUACUGUUGGGUAUAUAUCUAGAAAUGGAACUGCUGGAUAGGUUAUGCAGAUAGUCGGGUUUACACAUACUGCCAAUUAGUUAAGCAAAAUAGUUAUAGCAGUUUUCAUGCAGUGAGUCCCAGUGACUCCAUGCUUCCUCAACAGUUGGUAUUGCCAACUUUUAUAUGUUAGCCAUUCUGGGGAGUGUGUUUUAGCUUGUACUUUCUGGUUUCUAAUGCAGUCGAUCAUUUUUUCAUAUGCUUAUUGCCCUUUUGUAUGUCUAUUGGCCUAUUCAUAUUUUUGUCCAUUUUUCUAUUGCAUUGUCUGACUUUUUCCUUUUAUUAAUUGAUCAGUUAAACAAUUGAGUUAUUUUUUCAUUCUGGAUUUCAGUCCUUUGUCAGUUAUACAUACUGCACCUAUCUUAUUCCACUCUGUGGCUUGCCUUUUUACCUUCUUAACAGUGUGUUUUGAUGAACAGAGGUUCUUUUUUUUUAAUUUUUAUUUAUUUAUGAUAACACAGAGAGAGAGGCAGAAACAUAGGCAGAGGGAGAAGCAGGCUCCAUGCAUGGGGCCCCAUGUGGGACUUGAUCCCAGGACUCCAGGAUCACGUCCUGGGCCAAAGGCAGAUGCUCAACAGCUCAGCCACCCAGGUGUCCCAGUUAUUGUAGCUUUAUAAUAACUAUUAUAUAGUAUGAGUCCUCCACUUCUGUUCUUCAAGUUUAUCUGGGAUAUUAUAGACCAUUUAUAUUUCCUUUUUUGUUUUAAUAUCCAUUUAUUUAUUUGAGAGAAAGAGAGAGAGCAGUAGGAGGGGCAGAGAGAGGGAGAGAGAGAACCCUCAAGCAGGCUCCCUUGGGAUGGAGAUGUCAGCAGGGAGCUUGUUAGAGGACUUGAUCCCAGGACCUUGAGAUCAUGACCUGAAUAGAACAAGAGCUGGCUACUAGACCUUCUGAACCACCAAGGCAUCCCUAGACCAUUUGCAUUUUCUUAUAUAAUAUAAUAAGCUGCCUUAUUUUUACUUAAAAAAAAAAAAAAAAAAAAA
rnacentral:lncRNA from 1 species